CAAUGUCUUUUUAGGGCCUCAAGGGCUUGUAUAAGAGACUGUAUGUAUGAUUUCGGUUGAUGUUGCUAUUGUAAUAGGCAAAUUUUGGCCUGGCUAAAAAUAAAUAAAAUAAAAUAACGGUCUAUUUACAUUUCGGCUAAUCCUAAUACAUUUGGCCCAAUAAAGGGCCCAAUUGUGUAAACCCUAGCCUAACUAGCAGAUAGCCUCAGAGGCCACCAUCGCCCCACGCCGCAACAGCACCCGCGCAUUGCGCAUGUCGCCCUUGCACGUCGCGCAUGUUGCCCUGCACAACGCACGUCUUCCACUACUUCCAUACCUGCGAGAAAUUGAUCUAAACGGCAGCACAUGCAAAAAAAUAACAGGAUAGAUAGAUUUUUUUUUCAUUUUUUUUGUAUAUCUCGGCUAUAAAAGGCCGAUUUUAAUUUGUAAAGGGGGUUAGACAAAUGAUAUAUUGAAAUAGAGAGAAAAUACAAAGGUAAAGAAUCAGAAAAGAAAAAUUUUGGAAGGUGAUUUUCUUCAUUUCUUUUAUUGCUUUCUCUGUUAUUUUUUCUUUUUUUUUCGGGGUGUGCAAAACAGAAAUAAGGAGGAGAAGAGAAGGUUUUUACCAGUGGUGGCGCGCCAUUGAUGCCCUUGCUGCGUUGCGUCCGAAUCGGAGUUGAAAAGGGGAAGAUUUCAGUGAGAAGCAGAAGAGAAAGAAGCAGUCCUUGCGGGUGCUAUUGCUGAAAUUGGACUGGGGUUUUGAUUUGGGUUUGAAAUGGGUUUUGUUGGCUGCAAAUGAAAUGGGGUUUUAUUAAUGGGCUAUUUACCUUUUUAAUCAUUUUCAUUUUUCC
rnacentral:lncRNA from 1 species